rnacentral:rRNA from 1 species
AUGAAAUAUCUGAGAGAGUUGAAGGAUUACAAACCUAACACAUCUCCCUCGCGGACAGGGCCUGUGCAGCACCAGCAGCGGCGCGAGGCAUGGAGCCCACCGCCACCUGGGUGUGUGAAGAUAAAAGUGGAUGGAGCUAUGGCACGUCAGGGAAACGGAGGCGGGUUCAGUGCAGUUUGCAGGGAUUCAACUGGCUAUUUUCUUGGCGCUUCAGCCAUACAUUGCAGGGGUAUAUCUGAUCCGACAAUUCUUGAGGCUCUGGCUUGUCGCGAAGGUCUGGCACGGGCCAAUGAUCUUGGUGCCACGCAUGUGUUAAUAGCAUCCGACUACAAGGGGGUUGUCCAGGACAUCGCGAACAACACUGGAGGAGAGUACGGUCCGGUCGUUAGGGAAAUACUGGAGACAUCCACGAUGUUUCGGCUUUGUACCUUCACUUUUGAAGGAAGAGAGACUAAUAUAGAGGCACAUAGCCUUGCUAGACAUGCCUUGGGUCUGGAUCAUGGACGCCAUUUGUGGCUCAUAAAUCCACCAGACCUCAAUUGUAUUCCUAUGAACUUAUUGGCUGAAUAA